UACGAAGGGGGCAAACGUUGCUCGGAAUUAUUGGGCGGAAAGCGCACGUAGGCGGCUUUGCAAGUCGGAUGUGAAAUCCCUCGGCUCAACCAAGGAAGUGCAUCCGAAACUGCAGAGCUUGAGUACCAAAGAGGAUCGCGGAAUUCCCGGUGUAGAGGUGAAAUUCGUAGAUAUCGGGAGGAACACCAGUGGCGAAGGCGGCGAUCUGGGUGGAUACUGACGCUGAGGUGCGAAAGCGUGGGGAGCAAACAGG
rnacentral:rRNA from 1 species